GGUUGGUCCGAGUGCAGUGGUGUUUACAACUAAUUGAUAACAACCAGUUAUAGAUUCCUUUGUUCCUUCUCCACUCCCACUGCUUCACUUGACAGGACAGGA
rnacentral:Y_RNA from 1 species